ensembl:lncRNA
AGUAGAGAUCCUACAGGAUGGGUGCCAUGUUCUGUGAGACAAGACUCUUCUGUGGGACCUGGCUUGGCUUUCCUCACUUACCAUUCCUGAAUUGGAUGAGGAUGAAGCAAAGUUAUACAGUGAACUAUAUCCUUCAUAAAGAAGUUGGAGUCCUAACAUCUUAUACCUGUGUGUGUGGCCUUAUUUGGAAAUACUUUUUUCAUGUGGUCAAGUUAAGAUAAGUCACUGGAGUGGGCUCUAAAUCCAGUGUGACUGGUGUCCUUAUAAAGUGGGAAAUUUAGGGGCCGGGGAUUUAGCUCAGUGGUUCCGCUGCCUGCCUCGCAAAGCACAAGGUCACGAGUUCGAUCCCCAGUACCAAAAAAAAAAAAAAAAGAGUGGGAAAUUUGGACACAGAAAUGUGGGAAAAAUUUUAUAUGAAGACUGGAACAAAGCUGCCAAAGGAAUGCCAAACAAAGAUGGAAAACCACCAGAAACAAAGGAGAGGCAUGGAGCAGAUUCUCCCUCACAGCUCUCUAAAGGAGCCUGCGCGCUACUAACACCUCAUCGUGGCCUUCCAGAGGCUGAGACAGUAUACUUCUUUGCCAAGGUCCCCCAGUUUGUGAUACUUUGUUGUGGUCACCCCGGGAAGCUAAGCUAACACAGUCAGGUCAGCCAUUUCCCCACACCCAACUAUGUCUCCCUGACACUUGGCCCAUGCUUUGGGUUUUAUGGUGAGGUUACACAUGGUGUGUAUUAGCUGGCAGGACAUAUUAAAAAUGACAAGAUUUCCUGUGGUUUGGCUUUUGAAAGCAAGUGCACUUAAAGGCUAAUCUCAAGGUUUGGGUUUGAUUUCGAACGGGACUUCUUAAAAGAGGUAAUUACCUCACUCCCAUCCUCCCCCUCAUCCUGUGCCUCUGUGUGUGUUGAAGAGGGAAAGGAGUACAGUUGAGCAGUGUAUUUGUCAUUGGCACACAACCCUCCAUCUGCUUAUUAUUUGCCAGGCGUGGACAGCUUCUGAGAAAAUUCGGUGUUCCAUUGUAAGUCAGCUGAAUAGGGGGUUGGGAAGGUCAUGACAGAAGAGGGGAUGCUUCUUCUUUCUUUUCACUUUCCUUGGGCUUUCGUGGUCUUUUACUCUGAGAUCCUAGACCUUCCUCAAGGGAAGGGCUCACCUCCUUCCUCUUUGGAAAAUGCUAAUUUAUAAGAAAUAUUUGGUUACUUUUCAUUAGCUACUUCCAUUUCAACAUGUUGAAAUAGUUGUUUCUAAUUUAUACGUAGAAAAAUAAAUAAACUCGUCGUAGAGAUGGCUCUUAGGGUGGUUAUGUAAUAAUUAUGUAUGCCCCCAACUCAUUAACAUUGGAGACCUUACCCUACGGAAUUCUUCUAAGUUUUUAUGCUUUAUGGCUUCUAACAACUUUAACCAAACUCCAUGAAAGCACAUGAAAAGUAAUUUAGGUGUUGAAAGUCAACUCCUUCUAUAACUAUGUCAUAAUUAUAUCUUGUAGUAGCAAUUUCAUAUACCUACUUAAGUUGGGCUAAUUAUGAAAAUUUAGAAUUUCCUGAUUUCCGGCCAGUGUUGUGCUUGUUUUCCAUGCUGAUACUGAGUAUCAGGGUUCAGUUCAAAACCUGUGGAGAGGUUGGUAAGGAGAGGCUGGGGUUGGAAGAGAACACACUGUUCCCCAAAGUGUAAAGAUUGGGGCUCAUGCCUGCUUCCAGUUCUCUGAGAACGGAGCCCAGGAUCAUUUGCCUUGACAUAUCCCAGGAUAGUAGCAGAGCUAAAAAAACGUCUGUGCUUCAUAAUGAAAUAUUUAGGCAUUCAGUGAGAGUCCUGGGAUUUGCCUGAAGACCUAGCUCAGCCAGAGGUGAGAAUUAUUGAUGCUGGGUAAUGAAUAUCAGGGGUCCUACCAGGAGUCUUUUGUCCCGUGCUUGAAAAUUUCCACAAGCAGUUGUUAAUGCUUCUCAGAUAUAUGCCUUUGAUUCCUCCGCCACCUCUGCUACUGGACACCAUUGUUUCCGUCAUUCAUUUCUCACCAGCAGCAACAAACCUAUCCCGGAAAGCAAGCAAGCCUUUGCCUCCCAUCUCAUCCUAAUACACAUACUAUUAGAGACUUUCCAACACCUUCCCCGUUUUUUAUUUCUUAACAGAUAAUAUGAUGGCAGUACUUUCGUAAUAAAUUCAAAAGCUUCUCUCUAUUCCUCACCAGUUUGAGUUGCAGAAAGGAGUACAAAAGAUUAGAGUACUUUAAAAUAAAUCUCGGCUAAUUAUACAUACAACUGCAUUCAGUAAAUGUGAAUAUUUUCAGGGCUUUCUUUGCUACCCAGUGCCACCUGUUCAUGAUUUAAAUGGGCACAAAUUUAGUUCCAUUAAACAAAACACACAGCAACUCUUCUCCUAUAGCGCAAACUCCUUUCGGUCCUCUUUUGGAAUUGGGAAACUAAUCCUAGUGUUCCCUUGUUAGCUCUGGGCCCAUGUCAAUCACACCACAAGGCUGUUUACUUGAAUGUUUUGUAAAACUCCAGCAGGCAAAUAGGUUUGUGAUGAAGUGGUUUGUAUUUCCUAAGGGUCCUUACGGACUAGAUGGCAUUUGAACUUGUGGUUCCAGCAAUUACCCAGCCCCUGAAUUGAACAAUACAUUUCUUGGCUUCUUCAGCUCAUUAGGGAGACUUUUUAUCAUCUUUUGCCAAAGAGAAGAAAAGAAAUCCUCCCUUAAAAUGUUGUGUUCUGAGCCCAUAGGACAAUCUCCUGAGACGCUGCUGGAUGCAAAUCUUCAUUUUGCUACAUUAAAGUAGUAAAGCUCAUUGAGGAGGAGCAGUACCUCCAUCUCCUGUUCAUCUGGAAGGCUGAGGAGCUCUGUGAUGAUAUCAAUUUUCCCUUUGCGGGAAGAGACGCCAUACUUAUUUUUCAUCAAGAGGAAUGGUUACCAGGCCACAGGAGUGAGGUGCUGGCCGCAAGACCUGGGAGGUAUGAGCAGAUCCGAGGCCGGGGCUCUGUUCGAAGAGCUUUGCUUGUUUCUUGUUUUCCAGACCGCAUGGCCUGUCAUUCCGAAGAGCAUUUGUGGACGUGCUCUGUUUUAAUGCCUCACCGUCUGUAAAGAAUGAGCUCAGUUCCCAGUGAAAUUUUCCAGGUUCAUAUUUCGGAAGUGUCAGGGGGUAGGUAUGUACUCAGUGGCGCUGCGCUUGUCUAGCAUGCUCCAGGGCCUGGGUUCAAUUCCCAACACCUCGAAAACAAGUAAACAAAAAGCAAGAAAAGAUGUACAUGCUUAACACACAUUUAUGCAGGUGUGCACACCUGUCAGCUCAGCUGCUGGGGAAACUGAGGCAGCAGGAUCUGAAAUUUGAGCCCAGUUUGGGCAACUUACCAACUCAGUGAGACUCUGUCUUUAACUAAAAUAAAUAAUAAAAAGUUCUGGGGCCAUGACACAGUGAGAAGGCUCUGGGUUCUGCCCCCAGUACUGGAAAAAGAUGUCAGCUACACAAUUGUGGCAUAUUUAGUGUCACUUUUCCCACCUGUGAGUCUCACGUGACUGCUGCACGUGCACCGGGCCCACCUACAACAGGACUUGGGGGCAUCAAGUGUUCCCAUGUGUCCCCUGCAGAGAGAGCCCGACAUGAAAAACUGCAGACUGAAUGUCUUCUGAGUCCUGGUACAAGCAGGGAAGCUCAGUGAAGCUUGAGUCAAGGCUGUCAGGACCGAGUGACGGGAUGGAAGACAAGCUGAAGGUGCAGCACGCCUGGGCGCGAUCAUUGCUUUCCCCUUACUAAAGCAUAGUGCUCUCUGCUAUUUGGAGAGAGCAAUUUAGGUUUAUAUUAAGGAGUGAAUAAAUAGGCUGCAGUGAUGAAAUCUCAUUUGGAGUGAAUGCAGAUUGUGUAUGCUAAUGACCCUGUGCAGUACCUUGCAUUCUAACGCUCAGAAGCAAAGCACAUUGGAACCCUGCUCCUCUCCCGUCUCCCGUGC